GUAUUAAUAUUCUUUUGACAUUGAUUUGGUAAGAAUACAGGUGAAUCUGUCAUCAAAUCUUUUGACAGUGACAAGAUGCUUUUGUCAAUUCACAUAAAGGUUCUUACCCUUAGCAACAAUGUCGACAGUAAAUACCUCCCUAAAACAAUGUUUAAAAUGUGGAAACAACUUUUAACCUUGAACGUAUAUGACACAGAAUUUACAAUUGACAUUCUAAGACAGGAUGGGAUCGAUUUGAGUUGGAAUCUUUGUUGAUUGAUAAGGGAGUUGUCGAGACAUCUUCCACUUUAUGCGGAAAUGAAUCUACUUAAAGGUAUUUUUCUACCUUUUUUAUGUCUUUUUUCUUUUGAUUAUUGCAAUAUUCUUUAUUGGUAUUACAUUGUUAGAACUUUAAGUAUAAUAUUAUAUGAGCGAAUAUUGUGAUUCUUCUUCUUAUCUUCUUGUAUUAUAUGUUUUUUUUAUAUUGU